UACGUAGGGUGCGAGCGUUGUCCGGAAUUACUGGGCGUAAAGAGCUCGUAGGUGGUUUGUCGCGUUGUUCGUGAAAACUCACAGCUUAACUGUGGGCGUGCGGGCGAUACGGGCAGACUGGAGUACUGCAGGGGAGACUGGAAUUCCUGGUGUAGCGGUGGAAUGCGCAGAUAUCAGGAGGAACACCGGUGGCGAAGGCGCCGCUCUGGGCCGAAACUGACGCUGAGGAGCGAAAGCAUGGGUAGCAAACAGG
rnacentral:rRNA from 1 species